CCGCACGCCCGUGCGGGUGUAUUUUUUUAAAGAAAAUAUGAUGCUAUUUGAUUUUUAUGUCACUAUUUAGGAUUUGACAAAAAACUCGAAUUCGAAAAAUUGAACCGAUUUCAAUCCGAAUAAGUAGUACUAAAUCCAAACCGAAAUUGAUUAAAUAUCCAAAUUAUUCAAAAUUUUGGUAUUUGAAGAACUGAAAUCUAAUCCGAUCCGAA
rnacentral:lncRNA from 1 species